AGAGUUUGAUCCUGGCACAGACUGAACGCUGGCGGCAUGCCUUACACAUGCAAGUCGAACGGCAGCACGGAGCUUGCUCUGGUGGCGAGUGGCGAGCGGGUGAGUAAUAUAUCGGAACGUACCCUAGAGUGGGGGAUAACGUAGCGAAAGUUACGCUAAUACCGCAUACGAUCUAAGGAUGAAAGUGGGGGAUCGCAAGACCUCAUGCUCGUGGAGCGGCCGAUAUCUGAUUAGCUAGUUGGUAGGGUAAAAGCCUACCAAGGCAUCGAUCAGUAGCUGGUCUGAGAGGACGACCAGCCACACUGGAACUGAGACACGGUCCAGACUCCUACGGGAGGCAGCAGUGGGGAAUUUUGGACAAUGGGCGAAAGCCUGAUCCAGCAAUGCCGCGUGAGUGAAGAAGGCCUUCGGGUUGUAAAGCUCUUUUGUCAGGGAAGAAACGGUGAGAGCUAAUAUCUCUUGCUAAUGACGGUACCUGAAGAAUAAGCACCGGCUAACUACGUGCCAGCAGCCGCGGUAAUACGUAGGGUGCAAGCGUUAAUCGGAAUUACUGGGCGUAAAGCGUGCGCAGGCGGUUUUGUAAGUCUGAUGUGAAAUCCCCGGGCUCAACCUGGGAAUUGCAUUGGAGACUGCAAGGCUAGAAUCUGGCAGAGGGGGGUAGAAUUCCACGUGUAGCAGUGAAAUGCGUAGAUAUGUGGA
rnacentral:rRNA from 1 species